CCUACGGGAGGCAGCAGUGAGGAAUAUUGGUCAAUGGCCGGAAGGCUGAACCAGCCAUGCCGCGUGAAGGUCAGUGCCCUAUGGGCGUUAAACUUCUUUUGUGCGGGAGCAAUAAUGGUCACGUGUGGCCAGACGAGAGUACCGUACGAAUAAGCAUCGGCUAAAUCCUUGCCAGCAGCCGCGGUAAUACGGGGGAUGCCAGCGUUAUCCGGAUUUUUUGGGUUUAAAGGGUGCGUAGGCUGUGUGGUAAGUCAGCGUGGAAAUGCCCCCGCUCAACGGGGUGAAGUGCCAUUGAUACUGCCUAGCUGGAAUGCGGAUGCGGUGGGAGGAAUGUGUGGUGUAGCGGUGAAAUGCAUAGAUAUCACACAGAACACCGAUUGCGAAGGCAUCUCACGAAUCCGCGAUUGACGCUGAUGCACGAAAGCGUGGGUAUCAAACAGGAUUAGAUACCCCGGUAGUC
rnacentral:rRNA from 1 species